UAGGGAAUCUUCCGCAAUGGGCGAAAGCCUGACGGAGCAACGCUGCGUGAGUGAUGAAGGUCUUCGGAUCGUAAAACUCUGUUAUUAGGGAAGAAUAAAUGUGUAAGUAACUAUGCACGUCUUGACGGUACCUAAUCAGAAAGCCACGGCUAACUACGUGCCAGCAGCCGCGGUAAUACGUAGGUGGCAAGCGUUGUCCGGAUUUAUUGGGCGUAAAGCGAGCGCAGGCGGUCAAUUAAGUCUGAUGUGAAAGCCCCCGGCUCAACCGGGGAGGGUCAUUGGAAACUGGUUGACUUGAGUGCAGAAGAGGAGAGUGGAAUUCCAUGUGUAGCGGUGAAAUGCGUAGAUAUAUGGAGGAACACCAGUGGCGAAGGCGACUCUCUGGUCUGUAACUGACGCUGAGGUUCGAAAGCGUGGGUAGCAAACAGG
rnacentral:rRNA from 1 species